GACAGCGGCGACAUCGGCGACGGAAGUCUCGACGACGGCACGUCGAAAGCCGCUACCGACGGCGACGCCGUCGCCGACGGUUGCCGCUGC
rnacentral:pre_miRNA from 1 species